GGCCUGCUAGCUCAAUGGUAGGGCGUCUGACUACGAUCACGGUUCCAACAACAGUUCCAGAGUCGAUCAGGAGGUUCCAGGUUCGAGCCCUGGGUAGGUCA
rnacentral:tRNA from 1 species